GCCUACGGGGCGCAGCAGUAGGGAAUAUUGCUCAAUGGGGGAAACCCUGAAGCAGCAACGCCGCGUGGAGGAUGAAGGUUUUCGGAUUGUAAACUCCUUUUGUUAGAGAAGAUAAUGACGGUAUCUAACGAAUAAGCACCGGCUAACUCCGUGCCAGCAGCCGCGGUAAUACGGAGGGUGCAAGCGUUACUCGGAAUCACUGGGCGUAAAGAGCGCGCAGGCGGGAUAGCAAGGCAGAUGUGAAAUCCUAUGGCUUAACCAUAGAACUGCAUUUGAAACUGAUAUUCUAGAGCAUGGGAGAGGUA
rnacentral:rRNA from 1 species